ACUCUUGCCAGGCACCUCCCUCCUGUGGGUUGAUUCCGUUUUCCUCUUCUCAACUGACUCUGGAUUCUGAUACCAGACACCUUCCUGGUGUCUUUCCCUCCUAUCCCCAUCCCCUUCCCUGUCCCUUUCAUUCAAUUUUUAAUAUCUGGCGGGUUUUUUUUUUUUUUUCUCUCUCUCUGAACUGUGCCGCUUGUGAGCAGCCAGCUUGUCUCCUGAAAAUCGAGUACUAUACUCUCAAUCCUAUCCCUGGCUGCCCUUCACUCCCCGACAAAACAUUUGCCCGGAGAACAAGAGAAGCCCUCAAUGACCACUGCCCAGGCUACCCUGAAACUGAGAGAAAUGACGGUACUCAGGAAAUGGCACAAGAAGUCCAAAACAUCUGCCUGAAUCAAACCUCACAAAUUCUAAGAUUGUGGUAUUCCUUCAUGCAAUCUCCAGAAUAAAAUUAGCUUUCAGCUUCUGCUAUGAAAAUCUCUAUCUUGGUUUUAGUGGACAGAAUACUAAGGGUGUGACACUUAGAGGACCACUGGUGUUUAUUCUUUAAUUACAGAAGGGAUUCUUAACUUAUUUUUUGGCAUAUCGCUUUUUUCAGUAUAGGUGCUUUAAAUGGGAAAUGAGCAAUAGACCGUUAAUGGAAAUAUCUGUACUGUUAAUGACCAGCUUCUGAGAAGUCUUUCUCACCUCCCCUGCACACACCUUACUCUAGGGCAAACCUAACUGUAGUAGGAAGAGAAUUGAAAGUAGAAAAAAAAAAUUAAAACCAAUGACAGCAUCUAAACCCUGUUUAAAAGGCAAGGAUUUUUCUACCUGUAAUGAUUCUUCUAACAUUCCUAUGCUAAGAUUUUACCAAAGAAGAAAAUGACAGUUCGGGCAGUCACUGCCAUGAUGAGGUGGUCUGAAAGAAGAUUGUGGAAUCUGGGAGAAACUGCUGAGAUCAUAUUGCAAAUCCAGCUGUCAAAGGGUUCAGACCCAGGACAGUACAAUUCGUGAGCAGAUCUCAAGAGCCUUGCACAUCUACGAGAUAUAUAUUUAAAGUUGUAGAUAAUGAAUUUCUAAUUUAUUUUGUGAGCACUUUUGGAAAUAUACAUGCUACUUUGUAAUGAAUACAUUUCUGAAUAAAGUAAUUCUCAAGUUUG